rnacentral:ribozyme from 1 species
UGCCCAUCCACUACUAUCCCUACCUCCUCGCGAUACUGGCCAGGGUACGAAUAACCUUAGGAAAGAUAGGGUAACCAACUCCGGUGGAAACUAUGGUCGUAUGCUGACAGGAGAGG